rnacentral:tRNA from 1 species
GGACAGGUAGCUCCAAUGGUAGAGCAGUGGUUUGAAGCACCACGCGUAAUGGUUCGAUUCCAUUGCUGUCCA